UGUGCCCUUCCCAGCUACCUCCAGUAACAAGGAGGCGGGGCGACUACAGGGCAAUUAACCAAUGGGCACUAGAUGCAUCUUUUAAAAACCCUGAGCCAACAGCAUGGUAGUUCCUGCUGCUUUGGUGUGUGUGCCAGACUGGCCACUUUGGCCACACACAUGGGCCUCAGGCUAAGGCCUAGCUUUGAUGUAGCCACCUUGGGCCUGCUUACAGGUAGCAUGGCCUUUAACCCUGUGCUGCUCCAGGUGUAGGUCGUGCUGCUGUCUUGUCUUGUCUUGUCUUGUCAUGUGUUUUUGUUUUCUUUUGAUAUUGUGUUAACUUACUGUCUUGUCUGUUUAGUUUCAUUUUUUUUUGGGCAUAACUUCCAAGGUAACAUCGGGUUUUAUCUGGCAAGGAGCAUUAGUUUAGAGGGUGGCUAGUCAUAUACUAGUGUGGUGCAUUUGGCACUUGUUUGCUGUGUAAUCCAGAAUGUUUGCUGUGGACUGUUUUAAGUCAUGGGUUGCUGUGAUGAAGGUACACUUUCCAGUAGCAUGCCCCCUUUAGUCACUGUGAGCACUUGCCAGUCUCGUCCCGAAUAAAUAAAAGAACUACCUUUUUG